rnacentral:rRNA from 1 species
CCUACGGGAGGCAGCAGUGAGGAAUAUUGGUCAAUGGCCGCAGGGCUGAACCAGCCAAGUCGCGUGAGGGAUGACGGUCCUAUGGAUUGUAAACCUCUUUUGUCAGGGAGAAAAGGGCGCCACGUGUGGCGUUUUGCGAGUCCCUGAACAAAAAGCAUCGGCUAACUACGUGCCAGCAGCCUCGGUAAUACGGAGGAUGAGAGGGUUAUCGGGAUUUAUUGGGUUAAAAGGGCGCGCAGGGGGGAUGUCACGUCAGCGGUAAAAUGGCGGGGCACAAACCCGUCGUGCCGUUGAAACUGGCGUUCUUGAGUGAGCGAGAAGUAUGCGGAAUGCGUGGUGUAGCGGUGAAAUGCAUAGAUAGCACGCAGAACUCCGAUUGCGAAGGCAGCAUACCGGCGCUCAAAUGACGCUCAUGCACGAAAGCGUGGGUAGCGAACAGGAUUAGAUACCCCUGUAGUC